CACCCAAUCCAUUCUGGGCGUCCCUACCUGCACGUGCGUGUUUAGCAAUAAACGGGUGCGAAGCUGCAGGAACAACGUGGUGAUUCCCAUAGUCUCUUUGGGAUAAGCUG
rfam:Methanospirillum hungatei JF-1, complete genome.